AAGGAAGUGGCAGAAUGGUGAUGUGGUUGGCUUGAAACCAAUUUAUGGAGGUUCGAUUCCUUCCUUUCUCG
rnacentral:tRNA from 1 species